GCAUAUACAUACUAAGGUAUGUAUAUCUUUGACUAUGUCACAUAAAGUUCAUAGAUAGAUAACUGAUAAUGACAAAUUUCUAUCUAUAUGUCUUGACCAAGUCUUGUGCCAGCUGUCGCGGCAAUACAAGGAAGACUAGUGUUAUUCAUCUUUAUUAGGUUUAAAGGGUACCUAGACGGUAUUUCCAGCCUCAAAAAGGUACAGAUUUACUAGAGUUUUAUAGGAGAGGUAAAUAUUAGGGCUAUUGGUGUAGAGAUGAAAUUCUUUGAUACUAAUGGAACGGAUAACGGCGAAGGCAACCCUCUAUGUAUAAACUGACGUUAAGGGACGAAGGCUUGGGGAGCGAAUAGGAUUAGAUACCCUAGUAGUCCAGGCAGAAAAUUAUGAAUGUUAUAGAUUAAAUGUAAAGUUGGUGUAUAAAUGAAAGUGUAAGCAUUCCACCUCAAGAGUAAUGUGGCAACACAGGAACUGAAAUCAUUAGACCGUUUCUGAAACCAGUAGUGAAGUAUGUUAUUUAAUUCGAUGACCCUCGAAAAACCUUACCACAAUUUGAAUGAUAUUUAAAAAGUACUUUUUAAAUAUUACAAGCGUUGCACGGCUGUCUUCAGUUAAUGUCGUGAGAUUUUGGUUAGAUCCAUUAAAUUAACGUAAACCCUUGCUUUAUUUAAGAUUCAACUUUCCCAGGUAGAAUCUGAAUAGGGAGUCACCGCUAUAUUGGAUAUGAUAAAAGGGGACCAAGACAGUCAUCAUGACCUU
rnacentral:rRNA from 1 species